UACGGGGGGGGGCAAGCGUUGUUCGGAAUUACUGGGCGUAAAGGGCUCGUAGGCGGCCAACUAAGUCGGACGUGAAAUCCCCAGGCUCAACCUGGGAACUGCGUCCGAUACUGGAUGGCUUGAAUUCGGGAGAGGGAUGCAGAAUUCCAGGUGUAGCGGUGAAAUGCGUAGAUAUCUGGAGGAAUACCGGUGGCGAAGGCGGCAUCCUGGACCGACAUUGACGCUGAGGAGCGAAAAGCGUGGGGGAGCAAACAGG
rnacentral:rRNA from 1 species